rnacentral:rRNA from 1 species
CUGCAAGUAGUCAUAUGCUUGUCUA